rnacentral:rRNA from 1 species
GAUGAACGCUGGCGGCGUGCUUAACACAUGCAAGUCGAACGGAGUUUAUAAGUGGAAGUCUUCGGAUGGAAGCUUAUGAACUUAGUGGCGGACGGGUGAGUAACGCGUGGGUAACCUGCCUUACACAGGGGGAUAACAGCCGGAAACGGCUGCUAAUACCGCAUAAGCGCACAGUGCUGCAUGGCACCGUGUGAAAAGAUUUUAUCGGUGUAAGAUGGACCCGCGUCUGAUUAGCUAGUUGGUGGGGUAACGGCCUACCAAGGGAACGAUCAGUAGCCGGCUUGAGAGAGUGAACGGCCACAUUGGGACUGAGACACGGCCCAGACUCCUACGGGAGGCAGCAGUGGGGAAUCUUGCGCAAUGGGCGAAAGCCUGACGCAGCGACGCCGCGUGCGGGAAGAAGGCCUUCGGGUUGUAAACCGCUUUCAGGAGGGACGAAGCCACUCAGGUUAAUAGCCGAGAGGGUGACGGUACCUUCAGAAGAAGCCCCGGCUAACUACGUGCCAGCAGCCGCCGUAAGAC